GAUGAACGCUGGCGGCGUGCCUAACACAUGCAAGUCGAGCGAUUUACUUCGGUAAAGAGCGGCGGACGGGUGAGUAACGCGUGGGCAACCUGCCCUGUACACACGGAUAACAUACCGAAAGGUAUGCUAAUACGAGAUAAUAUACUUUUAUCGCAUGGUAGAAGUAUCAAAGUUUUUGCGGUACGGGAUGGACCCGCGUCUGAUUAGCUAGUUGGUAAGGUAACGGCUUACCAAGGCGACGAUCAGUAGCCGACCUGAGAGGGUGAUCGGCCACAUUGGAACUGAGACACGGUCCAAACUCCUACGGGAGGCAGCAGUGGGGAAUAUUGCACAAUGGGCGAAAGCCUGAUGCAGCAACGCCGCGUGAGCGAUGAAGGCCUUCGGGUCGUAAAGCUCUGUCCUCAAGGAAGAUAAUGACGGUACUUGAGGAGGAAGCCCCGGCUAACUACGUGCCAGCCGCCGCGGUAA
rnacentral:rRNA from 1 species